rnacentral:rRNA from 1 species
GAUCCUGGCUCAGAAUCAACGCUGGCGGCGUGCCUAACACAUGCAAGUCGAACGAGAAAGUGGAGCAAUCCAUGAGUAAAGUGGCGCACGGGUGAGUAACGCGUGACAACCUACCCUUGAGUGGGGAAUAACUUCGGGAAACCGAGGCUAAUACCGCAUAACACCUACGGGUCAAAGGAGCAAUUCGCUUAAGGAGGGGGUCGCGGCAGAUUAGUUAGUUGGCGGGGUAAUGGCCCACCAAGACGGUGAUCUGUAUCCGGCCUGAGAGGGCGCACGGACACACUGGAACUGAAACACGGUCCAGACUCCUACGGGAGGCAGCAGUGGGGAAUUUUGCGCAAUGGGGGAAACCCUGACGCAGCAACGCCGCGUGGAGGAUGAAGUCCCUUGGGACGUAAACUCCUUUCGAUCGGGACGAUUAUGACGGUACCGGAAGAAGAAGCCCCGGCUAACUUCGUGCCAGCAGCCGCGGUAAUACGAGGGGGGCGAGCGUUGUUCGGAAUUAUUGGGCGUAAAGGGCGCGUAGGCGGUCGGAUAAGUCUUGCGUGAAAUCUUCGGGCUCAACUCGAAGUCUGCACAGGAAACUAUCUGGCUUGAGUGUGGGAGAGGUGAGUGGAAUUCCUGGUGUAGCGGUGAAAUGCGUACAUAUCACGAGGAACACCUGUGCAAAAGCGGCUCACUGGACCACAACUGACGCUGAAGCGCGAAAGCUACGGGAGCAAACACGAUUAGAUACCCUGGUAGUCCUACCCUAACGAUGAUUGCUCGGCGUGACGGGUACCCAAUCCCGCCAUGUCGUAGCUAACGCGCUAUGCAAUCCGCCUGGGGAGUACGGCCGCAGGGCUGAAACUCAAAGGAAUUGACGGGGGCCCGCACAAGCAGUGGAGCAUGUGGUUU